ACUCCUACGGGAGGCAGCAGUGGGGAAUAUUGCACAAUGGGCGCAAGCCUGAUGCAGCCAUGCCGCGUGUAUGAAGAAGGCCUUCGGGUUGUAAAGUACUUUCAGCAGUGAGGAAGGUGGAUAUGUUAAUAGCAUAUUCAUUUGACGUUAGCUGCAGAAGAAGCACCGGCUAACUCCGUGCCAGCAGCCGCGGUAAUACGGAGGGUGCGAGCGUUAAUCGGAAUUACUGGGCGUAAAGCGCAUGCAGGUGGUUUGUUAAGUCAGAUGUGAAAGCCCGGGGCUCAACCUCGGAAUUGCAUUUGAAACUGGCAAACUAGAGUACUGUAGAGGGGGGUAGAAUUUCAGGUGUAGCGGUGAAAUGCGUAGAGAUCUGAAGGAUACCGGUGGCGAAGGCGGCCCCCUGGACAGAUACUGACACUCAGAUGCGAAAGCGUGGGGAGCAAACAGGAUUAGAUACCCUGGUAGGCUCU
rnacentral:rRNA from 1 species